CAGGGUCUCUACUCCAGACUUCUAUUGCAAGUGGACUUCAUCCAAGCUUCUACAAUAAGAAGUCUUCAUUCGAGCUUUCACAGCAACUGGUUUUCAUCCGAGCUUCUACAAUAAGCAGCCUCCUUUCAGACUCCUACAAGAGCCGGACUCCAUCCGAACUUCUACAACAGAAUUGAAUCCCAAACUCCUCCAACAUCCGACCUUCCCUAGUGUCCUCGAGACUCCUCCAGCAAACGAACC
rnacentral:lncRNA from 1 species